rnacentral:misc_RNA from 1 species
GAAAUGCGAUAAGCAAUGCGAAUUGCAGAAUUCCGCGAGUCAUCAGAUCUUUGAACGCAGCCCGCGCCGGAGAGAUAUCUCUUCGGCAUGUUUGUUUCAGUGUGUUUGGUUGACUUCAAACAGCUCAAUGCGAUUGAACUUUUUUUACGAAAGGGGUCUCUCGUGAAAAGCGAAGGCGUGGGACUUACCCGCCAACGAUGUGGUCACUGUCUAACAGUGAAUUCGUUGGGUUCAUCGGUGUGAGUCAUUUACGUACGUCUUAAUAAAAACAAAAUCUUCAAUCUGCACCUGAAAUCAAGCAAGAACACCCGCUGAACUUAA